rnacentral:rRNA from 1 species
UACGUAGGGUGCAAGCGUUAAUCGGAAUUACUGGGCGUAAAGCGUGCGCAGGCGGCUUUGCAAGACAGAUGUGAAAUCCCCGGGCUUAACCUGGGAACUGCACUUGUGACUGCAUGGCUGGAGUGCGGCAGAGGGGGAUGGAAUUCCGCGUGUAGCAGUGAAAUGCGUAGAUAUGCGGAGGAACACCGAUGGCGAAGGCAAUCCCCUGGGCCUGCACUGACGCUCAUGCACGAAAGCGUGGGGAGCAAACAGG